GAUCCCUGACUGGGAUCCAGACUCAGCAUUCAAAAACAAGAACUCUUUGAGUCCACAUCAGCAUUCAGGCCUGUGACCUCGGUGCUGGAGAGAUGGGAAGAGGAAGGUCAAGGUCCUCCUCAAGAAGUGAGCGAGGAGCAACAGGAUGAAGAGAGGAUGCAAUGAAUAUUCAGAAGUUCCGUGCCAACACCCAUUGCCUCUCUGUUCUGCUGCCAAGGAGUCCAGUUGUAUGCCUUCUAGAUGCUACACCACACCCUUCUCUGGACGGACCUCACAAGAGGAACUGUUCCCAGGGCUCCUCGGUAGACAGAGAGAGCAGAGGAGCACUGAGUAACCCAGGUAUCCACGGAGGUGACAACUCUGCCCAGAUAAAGGCGGGAACACAUUGUCGCUCCUUGAAGGUGAAGCUCACUCAAGUGUCUUGUCCCCUCGGGGCUGGAAAUCUGAAGUCUGUAAUGGAAGUUUUAGUUUAUUUGUAAACGCAGAUAUCUUAUAAAAUAUAUUUUUGUUUUCAUCCCAAGUGCGGGGUUUCAGUUGGGCUACAGUUUGUCCACAGCUGUUGUCCUGCGUGGGGCGUGGCUCUUGCCACAGGCUGCACAGAGAGGGGCAUGGUCUAGGACUCCGAGGAUAUAAAUAUGGAGCCCAGAAAGUGAAUUGGUGGUGUGCAGUGUUGACCUGUGACUGGUAGCAGUUUGGAGAGACCAGGGAGAUAGACCAUGUGGAGGUUUGGAGCAGACAGAUAGAAACGCUUUGGGGUGCAGCAGUUUGGAGGAGACUGCUAGCUGUGUCUGCAGUUGACAAAGAUUGGUAUAGCCCCCAUAGACCCUUUGCCCCCAAACAGCAAGAGAGAUAAAGGGGCCCUCUGCCCCCACUAACCUUCUCUCUUCUACUAAGGGCUGGGAGGUUGGAAAGGAGGUUGAGGCCUAAACACCCCAAAUAAAGCAGAGUUUUAAAAACAAGCGCUACAGAAGGGGACAAGGAGGCUGACAAUCUCCCAUCUCCCAUAGGGGAGGACUCCUCAUAGGACAACUAGCAAACAGGAAGCACCGUCUUCCUCCCCCAGUCUUCCAGCCCUGCCCUCUUCCCCCUCCCAAGCCCGUGCUCCCCACUGCCAAGUCUAAUAAGAAGCCUGCUGGCAAAAAAGAAAGUAGUUUGUGGAACCCCAGACUGAGCCUCACAGACAGCAGAAGAGAGGCGUUGUAGCCUUUGGGGAGACAGCUGGGGUGCUCACCACCACCCCGGGGACUGACAGGGUUUGCCUUCAGCUAUGGAUGGAGUCCCCACCAGAAAGAAGAGCAGAUCUAAUGCUGCUGCUGAGGGAAUGAACACCCUGCACCAGAAUGAUGCGUUCCUUCGUCCUUUUAGGGAGCCAGACCUCCGUCCCCUGGAGCUGGGAUAAGUUAACUGGGAAGGAGGAUGAAGGAGAGGGAGACACCUAGGCCAACUUUCCAUUUUGCGUGAUGGGAGGAGUUAGAGGCACAUGCUGCUGAGCCUGCACUGGGGCACAGCGCGAUGGUGAGUUGGUAAGUCAAGCCGCCUGCUGUACAAGCAUGAGGGCCUCCGUGUGGGUCCUCAGCACCCACGAAAAAGAUGGGUGCAGUAGUGUGUAUCUAUAACCCCGUACUGUGGAGGCAGAGACAGGCAUAUCCCGAGAACCUGCUGGUCAACCACUCUAGCCUGAACUGCAGUCUCUGGGUCAGUGAGCACUGGUCUCAGUACCCAUGGGUCAACCCUUCCUUAGCCUUACCAGCAUGGAAGCAUCCAGAAGCUAUCCUGGUUUA